CAGCCUCUGGCUCCAAAUUUGCAAGAUGGCAGCCUCCACAAGCGGGAUAUUUUGGCUUCAUUUUUGCACAAUGGGAGGAGGCGGAGUCGCGUCGUCCAUGUUUUCUACUGUCAAUGGUGUGAACGAAGUCUGGCUCCUUUAAUCCUGCAUGACAAACCUCAGGAUGCAGUUCUCCACAGUCGCUGUCUACAUGGGUCAGUGGGACCAAGAAGCACUCUGCUAAUGUGGGACUCUGACCAGCAACAUCCAGCAAGACCCAGGUAGCGUUUUCUAUCUCCCAGCUGGAGUUUUUUGUUUGUGACGGGAGAGUCAGAUUUUUGUUGAGGCUGGAGGAACAGCCUCACACUUGCAGAGGUUAAUACACGCUACUGAUCCCUGAUGGGAGAAUCAUCACCUCUGCCAACAAAGAAGCCUGGUGGAUGUUUGUUUACAGUCUGAUGAUGGGACACCAUGCUCUGCAUCUUCAAAGUUUGUCUCUUGCUUAUUAUUCAUACACAGUAAUGUGAAG
ensembl:lncRNA